rnacentral:rRNA from 1 species
ACGGAAGGCAGCAGUGGGGAAUAUUGCACAAUGGGGGAAACCCUGAUGCAGCGACGCCGCGUGAAGGAAGAAGUAUCUCGGUAUGUAAACUUCUAUCAGCAGGGAAGAAAGUGACGGUACCUGACUAAGAAGCCCCGGCUAACUACGUGCCAGCAGCCGCGGUAAUACGUAGGGGGCAAGCGUUAUCCGGAUUUACUGGGUGUAAAGGGAGCGUAGACGGCAAGACAAGUCUGAAGUGAAAGGCAUGGGCUCAACCUGUGGACUGCUUUGGAAACUGCCUUGCUUGAGUACCGGAGGGGUAAGCGGAAUUCCUAGUGUAGCGGUGAAAUGCGUAGAUAUUAGGAGGAACACCAGUGGCGAAGGCGGCUUACUGGACGGUAACUGACGUUGAGGCUCGAAAGCGUGGGGAGCAAACAGGAUUAGAUACCCUGGUA